rnacentral:tRNA from 1 species
GUGGCUCAGUGGUUAGAGCACUGGCUUCUCUUGCAGAGGACCUGGGUUCAAGUCCCAGC